GCAAAAUAAAAUUCGGGGGAGGGGGGAAAAAAAGGAGGGAGAGGCAUGCUCUUCUGUCCAUAACUAUGUGCUUGUGCUGUGGGAGUUUUUCAUCCUCGGAUCUUUUUAAGUCCUUCUCUUGACACCAGAGAUGCCUGGCUGGUCUUUUUCCACUCUUCCUGGGAACUUCCUGGACUGGAGGAAUCAAGAAUUUCAGUGAAUUAUUAAUGGGGAUGACACUCCGUGGGGGUGAUCACAUGUGGCGGUUUCUGUGUGAAUGGGAAGCAGCGGAGGAGAUUUUUCCAGGUGCCUCUCUUUGCUCCGGCCCCCUCUUCCCAGAAGGCUCCCGACUCAGUAGGUUAUGACUAAUCUUAAUGCUGAAAGAACUGAAAUCUCACCUUUUGCCGGGGGACACAGGGAGCACCUCUGCACCCUGACCCCAUGCAUCCUGUAGCCUUCUGUAUGUGUGUGCACAAUGUUCAUUUUGUAAGUUGCUCAGCACCGAAAAUUCUUGUAAUUGCCUUAGGGCAAUCCUGAGCUUCAGCACAGCUCCCACCCCACCCCCUCACAAUCAGCCUAGUCUUAAACAAGGCUUUGGAGGGUUUAAUCUAAAUAUUAAAUGACAAGAUGGAAAUUACCUGCCAGUUUAUUAUUUACCUGACAACAGUCUACUCCAACUGCACAGAGACCCCUUAAGAUUCAUGGUCUUCUGUCUCCUUCUGAAGCAACUGUUCCUCCAUGGACAGACACAGCACUGGAUUAGCUGGAACGAGGAUCCAGUGUGGCAACUUCUGUUUCUACAGUCCCUGUGGAAUGCCUAAAUUCUGCAGUCUGAGACCAAAAUGUCUGCGAAUCUCAGCCAUUAGCGCAAAAAGAAAAUAGAGCAUGAACUAGGAAUAUAUGUUAUUGUUCUCUAAGCUAUCCAGGAGAUAUCCCAUUCUGAAAGCAAUGAAAGAUGUGUUUUCGGGAUUUAAGGACUAUUUCAAGAAAUGCCCUGAAGCUGGUGAAAGGCCAGCUCUGCUUCACUACUCACUGCAGUAUCUAUGAAAUGAUCUGAAGUUCUCCCUUUGUGAAUCCUUGCAUGAACCAGACUCUUCAGAGUUCUCACAGCCCUGUUUAUUUUCCAAAAAUGUGGAGGGACUGUAUUCUGAAUUUAUAAAGGCAUAACCUCGAUCUAACUGAA